UUAUGUCCAUAUCACAUUGAAACCACCAAUUCUCAUAUGAUCAGUAAAGUUAAGCAACAUCAAGCCUCAUCAGUACCUAGAUGGGUAACCAAUUAGGAAUACCAGGUGCUGUAA